rnacentral:rRNA from 1 species
AGUGAACGCUGGCGGUAGGCCUAACACAUGCCAGUCGAACGGCAGCACCGUAAGAGCUUGCUCUUACGGGUGGCGAGUGGCGGACGGGUGAGGAAUACAUCGGACUCUACUUUUUCGUGGGGGAUAACGUAGGGAAACUUACGCUAAUACCGCAUACGCCCUACGGGUGAAAGCAGGGGAUCUUCGGACCUUGCGCGAUUGAAUGAGCCGAUGUCGGAUUAGCUAGUUGGCGGGGUAAAGGCCCACCAAGGCGACGAUCCGUAGCUGGUCUGAGAGGAUGAUCAGCCACACUGGAACGGAGACACGGUCCAGACUCCUACGGGAGGCAGCAGUGGGGAAUAUUGGACAAUGGGCGCAAGCCUGAUCCAGCGAUACCGCGUGGGUGAAGAAGGCCUUCGGGUUGUAAAGCCCUUUUGUUGGGAAAGAAAAGCAGCAGGUUAAUACCCCGCUGUUCUGACGGUACCCAAUGAAUAAGCACCGGCUAACUUCGUG